rnacentral:misc_RNA from 1 species
GAGAGCCCGUUACCGAGAGAUCGGUACGGCGGGUUCGGCGAGCGGUCCGGGGAAACGGACCGGGAGCAAUCCCGGUACCGCGCCCCGGGCCGACUCAAC